rnacentral:rRNA from 1 species
UAUACAGCGAAACUGCGAAUGGCUCAUUAUAUAAGUUAUCGUUUAUUUGAUAGUGCCUUACUACUUGGAUAACCGUGGUAAUUCUAGAGCUAAUACAUGCUAAAAACCCCGACUUCGGAAGGGGUGUAUUUAUUAGAUACAAAACCAAUGCCCUUCGGGGCUCUUUGGUGAUUCAUGAUAACUAUACGAAUCGCACGGCCUUGCGCCGGCGAUGGUUCAUUCAAAUUUCUUCCCUAUCAACUUUCGAUGUUUGGGUAUUGGCCAAACAUGGUUGCAACGGGUAACGGAGGGUUAGGGCUCGACCCCGGAGAAGGAGCCUGAGAAACGGCUACUACAUCCAAGGAAGGCAGGAGGCGCGCAAAUUACCCAAUCCCGACUCGGGGAGGUAGUGACAAUAAAUACUGAUACAGGGCCCUUUCGGGCCUUGUAAUUGGAAUGAGUACAAUUUAAAUCCCUUAACGAGGAACAAUUGGAGGGCAAGUCUGGUGCCAGCAGCCGCGGUAAUUCCAGCUCCAAUAGCGUAUAU